rnacentral:lncRNA from 1 species
UCUCGCUCUGUUGCCCAGGGGGAGUGCAAUGGCGUGAUCCCGGUUCACUGCAACCUCCACCUCCCGGAUUGAAGCAAUUCUCAUGCCUCAGCCUCCCUAGAAGCUGGGAUUACAGGCACGUGCCAUCACACACAGCUUAUUUUUGUAUUUUUAGUAGAGAUGGGGUUUCACCAUAUGGGCCAGGCUGGUCUUGAACUCCUGACCUCAGGUGAUCCACCUGCCUUGGCCUCUCAAAGUUCUGGGAUUACAGGCGUGAGCAGCCACGCCCAGCCUCAGUGAGUCUUAAGUCAAUGUGAACUUAUUAAAACCAAUUCAGUGACAAGCCCACCCCAUGAUCUACUCUGCUCUACAGCACUUAGAACCCUGCAGGGGGAUUAGCCAGGUGUGGUGGGCAACUGUAGUCCCAGCUACUCGGGAGGCUGAGGCAGGAGGAUUGCUUGAGCCCAGGAGGUUGAGGCUGCAGUGAGCUAUGAUUGCACCACUGCACUCCAGCCUGGGCAACAGAGCAAGACCCUGUCUGUAAAAAAAAAAAAAAAAGAAUCCUGCCGGGGCUUGAGGGGGAGUUCCAAAACCAAACAUGUAUUUUCUUUUUUUUGAGACAGAGUCUCACUCUGUCAUCCAGGCUGGAGGGUAGUGGUGUGUUCUCAGCUCACUGCAACCACUGCGUCGCAGGUUCAAACAACUCUCCUGCCUCAGCCUCCUGAGUAGCUGGGACUACAGAUGCGUGCUACCACACCUGGCUAAUUUUUGUGUUUUUUAUAGAGACAGGGUUUCACUAUGUUAGCCAGGCUGGUCUUGAACUCUUGGCCUCAAGCAAUCCACCUGCCUUGGCCUCCCAAAGUGUUGGGAUUACAGGUGUGAGCCACCGCGCCCAGCCGAACUGGACCAUUUCUUUUGCGCUGAUACACAUGAUCCUUAAUGAGAACCAGCUGCUGACACCUGUCCCGGAAGUUUCAUCAGAAACAGCUCCAGGUGGGGGACUGCUUCAGCAACGUGGGGCCUCACAGCUCAGAUUACAGGGCCGAGCUGCCGCAAGUGAAAUAGUGUUAGGGGCCAACGUGGAAAACCCUACCUAGAUUCCAGUCCCCACUGUGAGGUUUCUUUUUUUAAAAUUUUUAUUAUUUAUAUAUUUUAUUUUUAAAUUAUUAUUAUUUAUUAAUUUAUUGUUAUGGUUCUUUUUU